GACGAACGCUGGCGGCGUGCUUAACACAUGCAAGUCGUACGGUAAGGCCCUUUCGGGGGUCCACGAGUGGCGAACGGGUGCGUAACACGUGAGUAACCUGCCCACAACUUUGGGAUAACGCUAGGAAACUGGUGCUAAUACUGGAUAUGUGCUCCUGCUGCAUGGUGGGGGUUGGAAAGCUCCGGCGGUUGUGGAUGGACUCGCGGCCUAUCAGCUUGUUGGUGGGGUAGUGGCCUACCAAGGCGGCGACGGGUAGCCGGCCUGAGAGGGUGACCGGCCACAUUGGGACUGAGAUACGGCCCAGACUCCUACGGGAGGUAGCAGUGGGGAAUAUUGCACAAUGGGCGCAAGCCUGAUGCAGCAACGCCGCGUGCGGGAUGACGGCCUUCGGGUUGUAAACCGCUUUCAGCAGGGACGAAGCUUUUUGUGACGGUACCUGCAGAAGAAGCACCGGCUAACUACGUG
rnacentral:rRNA from 1 species